GAUCCUUCGUUUGAGGGCGCUUCCUCUUCCACUAGAGUUCAGUUUUCUUACGAACUCCAAUAAUUUAUUGUCUCGAAAAAAUAGAAGUCGAUCGAGUAUCUUCCCUGCAAAGUAGUGUCAACAAGUGAUGGAUGAGCAAGGUUCUUCCAGAGAAGAUGAUAAUCAGAGCUUAGCUCUUUCCUACAUCGGCUCUUCAACACAGGUCAAGAACUGUUCAUGUGAUAGAAGAGGGACCACGCGAGCAAAGGAAUCAGUUGUUUUCUGUUUUAGGGUCUCUCACUGAUCCAGAAGAAGAAGAAUCAAAGGAAUCCU